AUACUGGUUGAUUCUGCCAGAGGCUACUGCCAUCAGAGUUCGAUUAAGCCAUGUUAGUUAAGGGGACCUUCCUUCGGGGAGGUAACCCGGCAGACGGCUCAGUAACACGUGGACAAUUUACCCUUGGGACCAGGAUAACCCCUGGGAAACUGGGGCUAAUACUGGAUAGAGCAUCGGCUGCUGGAAUGCGCGAUGUUCGAAAGCUGAGGCGCCYAAGGAUAGGUCUGCGGCUGAUUAGGUUGUUGUUGAUGUAACGGAUCAACAAGCCCACGAUCGGUACGGGUUGUGAGAGCAAUAGCCCGGAGAUGGGUUCUGAGAGAAGAACCCAGGUCCUACGGGACGCAUCAGGCGCGAAAACUUUACAAUGUGCGAAAGCGCGAUAAGGGAACUCUGAGUGCCUCCUAAGGAGGCUGUUCAGGUGUCUAAAAAGCAUCUGGAGUAAGGGCUGGGCAAGACCGGUGCCAGCCGCCGCGGUAACACCGGCAGCUCAAGUGGUAGCCAUGUUUAUUGGGUCUAAAGCGUCCGUAGCCGGCUGAGUAAGUUCCUUGGGAAAUUUGACCGCUUAACGGUUAAGCUAUCAGGGAAUACUGCUUGGCUUGGGACCGGGAGAGGUCAGAGGUACUCCAGGGGUAGGGGUGAAAUCUAUUAAUCCUUGGGGGACCACCGGUAGCGAAGGCGUCUGACCAGACCGGGUCCGACGGUGAGGGACGAAGGCUGGGGUCGCGAACCGGAUUAGAUACCCGGGUAGUCCCAGCUGUAAACGAUGCGGGCCAGGUGUUGGCAUUACUGCGAGUGAUGUCAGUGCCAAAGGGAAGCCGUUAAGCCCGCCAUCUGGGGAGUACGGUCGCAAGGCUGAAACUUAAAGGAAUUGGCGGGGGAGCA
rnacentral:rRNA from 1 species